GUUCUCACUUUGGCAGCACAUAUACUGAAAUUGAAACAAUACAGAGAAAAUUAGCAUGGCCCCUGCACAAGGAUGACACGCAAAUUCGUGAAGCAUUCGAUAUUUUU
rnacentral:snRNA from 1 species